rfam:Penicillium solitum strain IBT 29525 PENSOL_contig048, whole genome shotgun sequence.
CGCCCUUCGGGGCAUACUGGUCAACUGAAAAUAUACAGAGAAGAUUAGCAUGUUCCGUGCACUAGGUUGACAUGCAUGAUCAAAGAGAAGCACUUUUUUUUA